UUACGUAACCAUCACGGUAUCGACGGUUUCUUUAUCGACGGCCGUCUACAGAACGUAACCCCCGUCGAUAAAGAGGGAGUACUGUAUAUAGUUUAGUUUUAAUUUUAAUUUUAUUUAUUUACCUUUGUACUGCUCCCUUGCUUAACAUGGGUUUUGUCAAUGCACAUUCGCUCAAUCACAUUUUUUUUUAGUAUUACCUGGUAUUGCUUAACGCAGGGCUAAGAUUCGCUUAAACGCGGUUGAGUCAGGCUAAUACGGUUAAAUUCAGCUGAACAUGAUCAGGUAGAAAAUUUUUUGCUCAGGCCAGCGGUUGAGUCCUUUACAGUCCACAGGUAGCAUCUCCAUGCCAUGUUGGCUUAGAGUUUAGCUAGUGCUCGGUCCAGCCACAACCAAAAACUUCGCUUUGUUUAAUUUCAGAUAUUCUCUUGCUUUCACCACCAUGGCUCCACCUAAAUGUUUUCUAAGUGCCAUAGAGACACUUCGGCGAAGAAGAGUAGGACCAUGUUUACCUUACAGAGUACUGUAAAUUAGACAUUAUUCAACAGCUAGUGUGUGGCCAAUCUGCCGCUUCUGUUGGACGCUAAUGUCCAACCAGCAUCCUAUAUCACCCUCAUUGUUUAUGCCCUUCAUAUGUGAGUACAGUAUAUUUUUUAUUCUUAUUUAAACGUUUGUUCAUAUGUUUAUGUUAGACAUUCUUGCGACUAGAAAGAGACCAGUCUGCCCAUUCUGUCGGAGUGGUUUCUCCGUAAACGAGUCAAUCAAGAGGAAUGCCGAAAAGAUUAGAGUCUUAAUUUUGGGUAAAUGAACAUAAUUUUCAUAAAAAAAAUAUUAUUCGGUGACAUGCACACAUAAUCUUACAUACGGAAUGUGAAAAAAAAUCAUCAUUGGGUCAAAAACAUAAGAUGAAUGUAAAUAUUUCUGUGUGUGCCUGCGAGAUUUAGUGGAAGUUAUGUUAUGGUUAUUUUUCAACUCGUAAUAUCAAGUAGAUAAACUUAACUUUCUUCAUAUUUCCUUUAUUCAGUUGCAUGAACACUAUCCUACAUACAGAAUGUGCCCCAAAAAUAUGUACAGUAUACAAAAAAUAAUCAUCAUUAGGUCAAAAACAUAAAAUGAUUUAACAGUCCUUCAUGUGCCAGUGGGAGGGGUGCAUUGCUAAGGGAAGGCUUCAGCUGGGCUGGGUUGCUAUGGUGAGGCUUGACGGAGCCCACGUAUGACUCAGCAUCUGCAUAUGGCUGUGGUGUUAAACUUUCGGGGACUGAUUUCAUGGACACGCCAGUGCCUCCACAAUGUACUGUAUGUGUAUUAUUGAGCUACUUUAGAGCUGUACGAUGCCUUUGAACUAUGGUGUGGGGGAGGUUGCAUUUUUUGCAGUCUACCUGACACAACCCCUAUCUCCCCAUGUUAUAAUGGGUUUGCUCAACACAACAUUUUCUGGGAACGCAACCCCACAUUAAGCAAGGGGAGUGUGUACAGUCUUCUCUCCGUUAGCUGGAAUCCCUGUUCCUUGGAACUUUUCAAUAGCCGGAAUGGAAAUCGGCCCGGAAUUUUUCCUGAAAAAAAAUCUCUAUUUGAGGUCAGCGAACAAAUGUUCCAGGAUUUCCGAGAAAUUGCAUCAUGCUCUGCUGCGUUGCCACGUGCUCGUGCCAGCCCUGUGGGUGGAAAAUCACCUGGGAAUGGGCCGUAGGCUCGCGAGCUGUGAUUGGCUAAUACACUGUACUACUGUCAUGUGACUGCAUGGGAUACCUGUGUUAGGCUGAUGCAUCUCCCAGCUUAUCCCCUCUAAACUAGGCAUCAUGAAGCCUCUGCCAUUGUACAAGAUUGAUCCCUCGCUCGCUGCAGUUAAUGCUUAAAUUUGCAUUCUGCAGUGCUGUACAUUACUGUACCUGGACACAAUCAGCCAAGAAUACAGUGUUAAAGCAGUGUUAGGAUGUAAAAUGUGAUUCCAGUUAUGUAAUCAGCAGAGUGGACAGUGUAUUACUACUGUAUUGUAGGUUCAAGACAACAUCAUCUGCUGGCGAGUACAGUAGCAGUACAUAUUAUUUUGUUUAUUUACAAUAUAUUGUUCAGUAUGUGUACAGUAGUAUUUACGUAAGUACAUAUAGGUCUGUGUCUGUCCAUACGAGAUGCUUAGCUUAGACUCUCAGAAAACUUUCCCCAGUGCAGGGUGGAAAAUUCCAAUGUCUUGACUAUUACACACAGCUCUAUUCAUGCUUAGCUUGCCUGUAUCAUAUUUUUAUUUUUAUUUUUUUUAAUAUAUUUAUUUAACCAAACUUCUGGAUAAACUUUUCAGGAUUAUUUUAAUAAAAACUAGUGUUUAUAAAUACUGUACAGUAGAACCUGAUUUUAUUGACUCAGGUAUCAACAUUUCGUAUGUUUUGUAAAAAUAUUUUGUUGAAGGAUCUUUUAUUGGAACAAUCUUGUAGAGAAUUUAUUAGAGCAGAUUGUUACUAAAAGUUUAUACACUUUUUCGCUAGCCUUAAAUAUUUUUGCUCGUGCCACGGUCUAAAUUAUUGAAGAGUGUUUUUCCAUGCAAGAAGAGAUGAUAAGAUGCAUAGUUUAGAGUCGAGAUGAAAUGUGUAGUUUAAACCUCUUAGACUCAAGGAAAACUUUCCCCAGCACCCAGAAACAUUCCAGGAUGUGUGACAGUGCCUGUCUUUACAAGAAGCGUAGUUUAGACUCGCGGAACUUUUCCCAGUACCCGGAAAAAUUCUGGGGAAGUGGGAUUUUUCUGGGUAUGAGAGUGUUGUCUUGAUACUCGGAAAUUUCUCAUCCCCGGAAGAGCUCGGCACCAAUUGUUCCAGCUAAUGAGGACGUAACUAAAAUUGGCAAAUUUUAAUUUAAUCUUGCCGAGACUACCAUAUGCUAUUUUUGUGUAGUCAUGUUAUGAUAGUUUGUACUGUACAGUACAUAUUUUUUAUUCCAAGUACAGUACAGUAGAACGUCUAUAUAACAAUAGAUACGUUCCAAGAGAGGUCGCUUUAAACCGAAUUCGCACUAAAUCGAAGUGUUGUUUCAAUGGAAUAAUUUAGUUUGGUAUUUGAAAGAAACACAAAAUACUAAAAAGACUUUUAUUAACUAAUAAAUGUGAGAAAAAUAUAUGGCGUAUUGAUAUAUAUGCAGCAAGCACUCCCUGCAGUUGAGUUGAGAGCUGGACUGUACUGUCUGCUGCCUCGCGUCACUGGCCCUCCCCCUGCCCCGACUGAGAGUCUACCCAGAUGCACCUAAACCCAUCUCCUAGAAUAAACAAAACAUUGUUUUUUGUAGUAUUAUGCUAAAAAAAAACUCAUAAAUCAACACAGCUAAAAUUACAGUAUGCAAAAUGGACUGUUUACUGGCGAUCAGCUGAUGUGAGAGGGUGGCCGCGCUUGCGCCGCACACUGCCUGCCUCUCGUCUGUCUCACUCCAUCCCUACCACUCACCAUGCACUUUCACUAUCCUCUCAACUUAGUUUUUCAUUACUUUAUGCUGGCCCUGCCCUGACUGAGAGUCUACCCAGAUGCACCUAAACCCAUCUCCUAGAAUAAACAAGCACUCAUAAUUCAACACAGCUAAAAUUACCGGAUGCGAAAUGGUCUGUUUACUAACGAGCAACUGAUGUGAGAGGGUGGUCGCACUGGUACCACUCACCACCCGCCUCUUGUCUGACUCACCAAGCACUUUCACUUUCCUCUCAACUUAUUUUUUAAUUACUUUAUGGUAUCAAAAAUAGAUUUUCACUCGACUUCAGUUAGGCAAUUCAUCCUCUGAAGAUGUAGAGCCAAACUCGACCAGCUCAUCAUCCACAUCACUGUCUAGUGCUGUGACUGUGGACGCAUCUGACACGCGGGAAGCACUGGUUGAUGGCCGUGGCUGCCCAGAUGUAGAUGGGCCAGCUACCCCAGGAGCUGAAGAAAUGGAAAACUUCUUUAAAUUAUUGAAUUUCUACCACAUAAUUAUUACAUAUCAUACACCCAAAAUUUAAUGUAAAAUUUUCCAAGUAAUAAACACUCAGUUUCAUAACAAACUCAACUGGUGAGGAUAAUGAACAGAAGAAUGAGGUGAUUUUCUUCUGUUGCUGGGCCAUAACCAUCUGAUCUAGCAGCUGAGAGUACGUAGAUGCAGCCCGAUUCAACACCUCCAUUACUUGCAUACUGCAUUCCAUAUCAGGGUCAUGUUGCAGUGCAGAAUGGGUGGCACAAGUGACGUGCUGCAUAAACUCCCUCAGCUUAGGAAUUGUCAGUUCCUUCCCUACUGUUUGGGGCUUAUCUGUUGCUUCCUCUUCUUCCGCGUGUUUCUUCGCCAUCUCCAAGACUUCUUCAGAAGUGAGAGGAUCCUCCAUGCUGACAAGCAGUUAAUUCACAUCCUCUUCUUGGAUUUUUUGAAAUCCUGAAUCACCUCUCACUUCCUUAACGAGCUUCAGAAUGCCUUUCACGUUCUCGCCUUUAUCAAAGCCCCUGAAAUCAUGGACUACCUCAGGGCACAGAUUACGCCACAUUCCAUUUAGUGCAGUUUCUGACACACUUUUCAACGCAAGUGCGAUGUUAGCUAUGGCAUCUUUGAUGGUGUAGCUCUUCCAAAAUGUUGCUGCAGUCAUAUUGUUGUCCUUGAGAUAAUAUCUCUUGAACAAGGCAAGAACACCUUGAUCUGGUGGCUGAAUCAGUAAAGUCACAUUUGGAGGGAAGAAGGUCAAGUUUACAUACUUAUUCACACUGCACUGGUGUUUGGAGUGGCAAGAUGUGUUGUCCAUGAGAACCAAGGCCUUGUGGCUAAGGUUCAGUCUUUGUUAACAUUUUCGAUGAAUGGGGUGGCAUGGCUGAUGUACCGCUCAUCGAAAAUAUCAGAAGUCAUCCACACCUUCUUGUUUGAUCGCCAAAUUACAGGAAGUUUCGGGAUGAACACAUUUUUCAAGGCACGAGAUCUAGCCGAGUGGUGGAUGAUGAGUGCUUCAUUCGUGAGGUGCCUGAUGCGUUGGCCAUGAGGAGAAUCGUCAGGCUGUCCUUGUUGACAUUGAACCCAGGUGCCUUUUCUUCACUCUUUAUUAGAUAGGUUUUCUUGGGAAUUCUUUUCCAAUACGGCCCAGUUUCAUCACAAUUUCACACUUGGCAAGGAGAAUAACCAUUUUCUAACACUAUAUCCUUCAGAAUUUUCUUCAUAUCCUCAGCCACCUCCACGUCGGCAGAUACAACUUCACCUGAAAGCGUCACAUUCCUUAGCCCCGUCUUUUUGAUAAAUUUGUACAGCCAGCUUGUACUUGCUGUGAAACUACUGUCUUUGAUGGACUUCCCUUCCUUUUCAAGUAUCCAAGACUGUAUUUCAUAGGCUUGGUUUUGCAGCAUUGGGCCAGUGAGAGGAAAUUUUCAGUGCUGCAUGUCUUCUACCCAUAACUUCAGUGCAUCUUCCAUCUCAACAUACAUAGCAGACUUCAGGUGGAGUUUACCCUUGGCAACAUCUGGUGAAGCAUAGGCUGCUCUAAUUUUCUUCUCACUGAGCUUGAUAGCGUGGACAGAGCUCUCCGACAGUCCAAAUUGGCGCCCCACACUUGAAGCACCAUUUCUACGCUGCAGUGCUUCCAGCACCUUGACUUUCUGCUCCAGUGUAAUUGCUUGCCUUGAUUUCUUGGUCGUUGGGGUAGUUAAUGAUGUAGUGGCUGGCCUCUUGGACAUACCGGUAGUGGUGAUGGUUGAUGUACGUGAUAGAAGGAGAUAGUGUCACACAGUAUGUCCGUUCACUGGAGCGUCAGUGCGAGAACUGAGGAUGUGGGAGGGUGGUGGGCAGCUGUGUAGUGUGCCCAGAGAGGUGCUGGCAGGAAACAUUAGAUGCAAAAUUUAAAAUAGUGUGUAUUUCCAUAUUACGCACCAGAUUUGACUCGCGUAAAAUAGGAAAGAUUCGCUUUAAACUAAUACAUUGUCCUUAAUUGUGGGUGUCGCUUUAAAUCAAUAAUCUUAAAUUGAUUCACUAUAAAUCGCCGUUCUAAUCUAUGUGUAUUUCCAAAUAUAAAUAGGAGAAAAAGUCAUGCUGUACAUUUACCAUAUUUAUUAUGCUACACAACAAACUUGAUUGUACAGGUAUACACAGCUACUCCUCGACUUACAACCUACUCGACUUACGACCACCCGGACAUUCGACCGCCCCAGUCUUACCAAUUUUUUUUCAAAUUACGUAUUUUCAAGUCCCGACUUUAUUUUGACUUAGACCAAUUCGACUUACGGCCUGGAUUUGGGUCCCUAACCCCGUCCUAAGUCGAGGAGUGGCUGUAUCCUCAAACCUGAAAACCUUGGGACCAAGACCAAACCAGUUUUGAGGAUUUUCCAGUUUCCUGGGUCCUAGGUCAUCCAUUUUACCCUGAGCCUACCAGGAGACUACAUCAAGUUUUGCCUCCAUGCAGUCUUACUCCCACAAACUGUUCAAGUUUGUUUUGCUUUUUAAAUAACAAAUUUAGUCUAUUCAGAAAUUGAAAGCUUCCUUAGAGCAAGUUAAAUGGGCUUCUUUACAUUCCAGCAGCUUCUAGUGAGUUCUUAAGUAAUUACUGUUUGUUUGAACAGUUAUGAAUACAAAGAUAUUAAUAUUGUUUUCACAUAGCUUUUGAAAUUAUUAUUGGUAAAAUUAAACCAAAGAUUCGAGGUAACUUGUGCCAGAUGUUACUGAAUUUAAUGUGUUUUUCUUUAUUUAAAGUAUGUAAUGCUGUUGACUUUAUGGUGCUAUUUAAGAAGUAAAACAAACAUUCAGGCUGUGUGUGUGUGACUUGAUUUUCUUUUCUUUUUUUAUUUAAAAAACAAUUGUAAUAUUGUAAUAUUAAAAUGCAAUAUAACCACAAAAACUACUGUAAACACCAAUGCACCCUAAUAUUUGGGUAUGUACAGUAUCCACUUACAGUACAGUAUUUGGGUCAUUUGUCCUGCUAUAUGGUUUCAUUUCUGAUCAAACUUUUCUAAAGUUUUCUUUUCCUAUCAUCGGCUGGAAGGUGAUAGAAACUUAAAGGUGUCCACUUUCUUUUUAAUGUACAAUUCAGCACACGACAGCCUUUGUAAAGCAAGCAGGAUAUAAACAAAGAUGGUAGAAUAGAUCCCCAGGUCUAUUGAAAGGAUGGCAGUAGUAGUCUUCAAAGAUGUGUUGUUGAAAUACAUGGUUCCAUUUGUAAAUGUUGAUCUGAUUUACCAGAUUAUUUCUGAUGAAUCUGUUGUAAAUAAUGGGUGAAAUGUAUAAGAUUCACGAGGUAAUGCUAACAUUUGAAAAUAACAUCCAUUAACAUGAUACUUUAGGUUUUAAUAGUGAAUGAAUUAUAACCUGUAAGUGGGAAAAUCCGUCCGGAAAACUGUUGAAAUUUAACAGGAUCCAAUGUGCCAAAACUUGUGAUCCCAUACUUGUCACAAGAUAACUAUUCCAGUUCAUUCCAUGCAUGAUGUUCAGUUUUGUUGGGCAUAGAUCAUAAUCAGUAAUGUGAAUGGAAUGGAAUAUUUUAUAUAUGAGUGAAUGAUUUUUAAUACUUAUUUAUGCUCUCAAGUUAUAAAGAAAUGUAAUACAUUGGGAUAGCAUUUGAGAGAGUGUUCUCUAACAGUAUUGUCAUUUUUAUGUUUUAUGAGAAUAAAUGAAGAACAAUAAUAAAAGUCAUUGUAAGAUUUGGGAUAUGUUUUAUCAUUGCUACUGUGAAAGAUUUAUGCCUAUUUGCAAUACAUUCACCCACCAGAAUAUGAUUAAUGAACGUAGUUUCACUUAGAAACUACAGUAUUCUAUGUCAUGUUUAUUGUUCCAAAUAUGAAAUACUGUACUGUAUUUACACCUCCAUAACAGUGAUAAAGAAAAGUUUUUAAAUUUAUUUACAUAUAGAAUAUAUUGUAAAUGUUGAAUUUUAAUGAUAUAUUUCAUGUUACACUGCAUUUGUAUUACAUAACUAGGAGUGUCUUAGGUGGCAUAACUAAUGCUGAAAGUGGUAUGGUAAAUUCAGGUUGGUUACAUUCAUGUACAUGAGGUCCCAUACAAGCAAAAUUUCUCCUUGAAAUUGAUAGCUCAAGCAUGAAAAAACAUUGUAACACAUAUGGUACAAGUAUUAGUCAACUAAUAAAAUUUGGGUAAACAAAUUUUAUUUAAUUUAAGUUUCUUGGUAUAACAUCAUAAAUUAUUGCCUAGAGUAGUUCAUAAUUUCAUGUGUUCAUUUGUUAGUGUAGCAUUAGAGAGUAAGACACUUGCAGUAUUAGAUUUUGUGGAAAGAUAGUACAGUGUAAGGAGAUUUAUGACUGCUUCAGUAACAAUCCUGUUGUACUAUAUACACUAGUGAAAUAUAACCUCUUGAUAUGAAAGGUCUUUCAGGGGAAAUUUUACUUUUGUAGUUAAGGAAUCUAGCCUUAACAUUUUGUGCAAAGGUGAAUGUAAUUGAAAUGCGUGUCUGAUGACAAAUAUCUUCUUAACCUGAGUUUAAAGUGCAUACCUGUACCUCUAUUUGAUAUUUCUUUUCUAAUUUUCAGAGUCAUUCCAUUUGACUGCUUGACCAAUAGUGCAUAAUAGUGUGGACACAUAAACAUUGUAUGGUAAUUCUUAAAGGCAAUAAUGCAGAUCAGGAAAAAGA